UGGGGAAUAUUGCACAAUGGGCGCAAGCCUGAUGCAGCCAUGCCGCGUGUGUGAAGAAGGCCUUCGGGUUGUAAAGCACUUUCAGCGAGGAGGAAGGUGGUGAGCUUAAUACGCUCAUCAAUUGACGUUACUCGCAGAAGAAGCACCGGCUAACUCCGUGCCAGCAGCCGCGGUAAUACGGAGGGUGCAAGCGUUAAUCGGAAUUACUGGGCGUAAAGCGCACGCAGGCGGUUUGUUAAGUCAGAUGUGAAAUCCCCGGGCUCAACCUGGGAACUGCAUUUGAAACUGGCAAGCUAGAGUCUCGUAGAGGGGGGUAGAAUUCCAGGUGUAGCGGUGAAAUGCGUAGAGAUCUGGAGGAAUACCGGUGGCGAAGGCGGCCCCCUGGACGAAGACUGACGCUCAGGUGCGAAAGCGUGGGGCAGCAAACAGGAUUAGAUACCCUGGUAGUCCACGCUGUAAACGAUGUCGAUUUGGAGGUUGUGCCCUUGAGGCGUGGNUUCCGGAGCUAACGCGUUAAAUCGACCGCCUGGGGAGUACGGCCGCAAGGUUAAAACUCAAAUGAAUUG
rnacentral:rRNA from 1 species